rnacentral:rRNA from 1 species
AGAGUUUGAUCAUGGCUCAGGAUGAACGCUAGCGGCAGGCUUAAUACAUGCAAGUCGAGGGGCAGCAGGUUUGUAGCAAUACAAAUGCUGGCGACCGGCAAACGGGUGCGGAACGCGUACACAACCUUCCUUUAAGUGGGGAAUAGCCCAGAGAAAUUUGGAUUAAUACCCCGUAACAUUAUGAUGUGGCAUCACAUUAUAAUUAUAGCUCCGGCGCUUAAUGAUGGGUGUGCGGCUGAUUAGGUAGUUGGCGGGGUAACGGCCCACCAAGCCUUCGAUCAGUAACUGGUGUGAGAGCACGACCAGUCACACGGGCACUGAGACACGGGCCCGACUCCUACGGGAGGCAGCAGUAAGGAAUAUUGGGCAAUGGAGGCAACUCUGACCCAGCCAUGCCGCGUGGAGGAUGAAGGUCCUCUGGAUUGUAAACUUCUUUUAUAUGGGACGAAAAAGGGCCUUUCCAGGUCAACUGACGGUACCAUAGAAUA